AUGCUGCUCUGCAACCUGCUGAAGGUGGUCAUAGCUUCGAUGUGGCUAGGAUCUGGUAUUGCCCAGGAGGUAACUCAAAUCCAAUCAACAAUCUUGGUGCAAGAGAAGGAGGCUGUGACACUGGGAUGUACAUAUGACACCAGUCAGAGUAGUUACAGUCUAUUCUGGUACAAGCAGCCCAGCAGUGCGGAGAUGAUCCUCAUUAUUCGCCAGGACUCCUAUAGCCAGAAAAAUGAAACAAAAGGUCGCUACUCACUGAAUUUCCAGAAGGCCAACAAAUUGAUAAACUUUGUCAUCUCAGCUUCACAACUGGGGGACUCAGCAAUAUAUUUCUGUGCACUGAGAGAACACACAGUGAGAGAACUGUUGAAAGAAGGUGUACAGAAACCCAAGGAGUUGGCUUGCAACAUCCACCUGCUAUUGGGACCAAGCAGGGAAUCACCAUCACAGGCAGGAAGUGGCUAG